rnacentral:rRNA from 1 species
GAUGAACGCUGGCGGUGUGCUUCACACAUGCAAGUCGAACGAGGUAGCAAUACCUAGUGGCGGACGGGUGAGUAACGCGUGGGAAUCUGCCUUUAGAUGGGGGAUAACGGAUCGAAAGAUUCGCUAAUACCGCAUAUGACGAAAGUUGAAAGGAGUAAUCCGUCUAAAGAUGAGCCCGCGUCCGAUUAGCUAGUUGGUAGGGUAAAAGCCUACCAAGGCGACGAUCGGUAGCUGGUCUGAGAGGAUGAUCAGCCACAAUGGGACUGAGACACGGCCCACUACUCCUACGGGAGGCAGCAGUGGGGAAUUUUACGCAAUGGGGGAAACCCUGACGUAGCGACACCGCGUGAGCGAAGAAGCCCCUUGGGGUGUAAAGCUCUGUCAGCUGGAACGAAAAAAUGACGGUACCAGCAGAGGAAGCAUCGGCUAACUACGUGCCAGCAGCCGC